rnacentral:rRNA from 1 species
CCUACGGGAGGCAGCAGUGAGGAAUAUUGGUCAAUGGGCGCAAGCCUGAACCAGCCAAGUCGCGUGAGGGAUGACGGUCCUAUGGAUUGUAAACCUCUUUUGUCGGGGAGCAAGGCCCGCCACGUGUGGCGGGAAGGAGAGUACCCGAAGAAAAAGCAUCGGCUAACUCCGUGCCAGCAGCCGCGGUAAUACGGAGGAUGCGAGCGUUAUCCGGAUUUAUUGGGUUUAAAGGGUGCGUAGGCGGAAGGUUAAGUCAGCGGUCAAAUUGAGAGGCUCAACCUCUUCGAGCCGUUGAAACUGGUGUUCUGGAGUGAGUGAGAAGUAUGCGGAAUGCGUGGUGUAGCGGUGAAAUGCAUAGAUAUCACGCAGAACUCCGAUUGCGAAGGCAGCAUACCGGCGCUCAACUGACGCUCAUGCACGAAAGUGUGGGUAUCGAACAGGAUUAGAUACCCUUGUAGUC